rnacentral:rRNA from 1 species
GAGGAAUAUUGGACAAUGGGUGAGAGCCUGAUCCAGCCAUCCCGCGUGAAGGACGACGGCCCUAUGGGUUGUAAACUUCUUUUGUACAGGGAUAAACCUUUCCACGUGUGGAAAGCUGAAGGUACUGUACGAAUAAGCACCGGCUAACUCCGUGCCAGCAGCCGCGGUAAUACGGAGGGUGCAAGCGUUAUCCGGAUUUAUUGGGUUUAAAGGGUCCGUAGGCGGAUCCGUAAGUCAGUGGUGAAAUCUCAUAGCUUAACUAUGAAACUGCCAUUGAUACUGCGGGUCUUGAGUAAGGUAGAAGUAGCUGGAAUAAGUAGUGUAGCGGUGAAAUGCAUAGAUAUUACUUAGAACACCAAUUGCGAAGGCAGGUUACUAUGUCUUAACUGACGCUGAUGGACGAAAGCGUGGGGAGCGAAC